rnacentral:lncRNA from 1 species
CCCCCCGCCCGGGGACGGGGCGGGUCCCGGCCGCGGCCCAGUCAGGCGGCGCCGCAUCGCUGGGAGACCCCGCCGCCUGCCCGGGCCCGGGCCCGGCCGCCGCUCCCCUCAGCGAGCUCCCGUUUCGGGCCUUGUCCGGCCCCGGUUCCUCCCGAUUCCUGCGUCGGUACUUACUGCCAGGUACUGCCCACGGAGGCUGGCACAAGCGAGAUCUGGCCAGGUGUCUCCACGAUAGGCUCCACAGCAGAAGCAGCAGCGACCCACAGGCAGGGGCCAUGGACUCCAGUACAGAGGCAGGGAGAAACAAGGGCCUAGUGCUCCUUAAGGGAUGGACAACAAGGAGAACAUGACCAACAAGACCUUUCCAUUCCUGUAGUACCUGAGCAAGGCCAGUUACGAUUCUAUUUUAUAUUCUCUUUUGAUGGAAGGCGACAUGAAUCAAGCCUCGAAACUCAUCAUCUGAGGCGAGGAAUAUGCUGCUGACCUUAUCUCCAGCCUAAAGAUGUCACAGAGAUUUGCAGGAGACAUAAAGCCUAAGGAAUUGAUCUGUGCAUGGAGGGAAUCGGAAGGGAUCUGAGCGUGGUGGGUGGCAGUGGUCAACUGUGCACUUCAAAAGGCGUUCUCACAGACUGGCAUCAGUCAUUUAUAUGCAAUAGAAAAUGAGGAAAGCAGCCUUUCUCCCGCAGCAUUGUUUUAGUUUGCAAAAGAGUACGUUGGCAGCAUUGUUUC